rnacentral:rRNA from 1 species
CUGCUGCCUCCCGUAGGAGUUUGGGCCGUGUCUCAGUCCCAAUGUGGCCGGUCACCCUCUCAGGUCGGCUACUGAUCGUCGCCUUGGUGGGCCGUUACCCCACCAACUAGCUAAUCAGACGCGGGUCCAUCUCAUACCACCGGAGUUUUUCACACCGGAUCAUGCAAUCCUGUGCGCUUAUGCGGUAUUAGCAGUCAUUUCUAACUGUUAUCCCCCUGUAUGAGGCAGGUUACCCACGCGUUACUCACCCGUCCG